CGCGGGGAGCCAGGGCUGUCUGGUUGGUCAUCAGGCGCGGGGUGGCCGGGGGGGCUCGGUUCAGCUGCCGGGGACCAGGACGGGGCCAGGCUGCGAGACUGGACAGGAUUGAAAUCAGAUAAUGAGAAGGGGUCACAAUGGACAACAGAAGCUGGAGAAUGAGUCAAAGGUGAGAGGUAUUUGGUCUCCAGGAAUAGUUGGCCUUCCUCUUGCUUGAAAUGCUUCCAAUUGCCACUGGAUUCAUCACAUCACGGUGACUUUGUACACAACUGAACAUUUGCUGUAUCUUUGACGAAUAUCCUUCCCAUGUUACUGGUGGAUUUUGAAAACUGCUGCUGCUUUCUGAGGUCCCCUCCUGAGCCGCAUCAAGUCAGGCCAAUCUUUAAGAGCCACCUGGACUCUGGACUCCCCCCCCCCCCAACCUGGGGCCUUCGUGGCCACCCUGACACUGACUGACAAGAGAAACAAACUUCUAUGAUCCCAAACCACCAACAAUAAACAUCUCCAACAGACUGCCCCAGUGCAGUGAAGACCACGAACCAGAGAAGAUUGCAACCCAAAGUAUCUUUGAGAGCCCUCAUUUGAGAUGCCAUUUAUCCUCAGCACUGGAAAAGAAGGCAUCAUUUUUAGGCGAAAGUGUUCAUUUUGGAAUCCCUCCCUCCGCCCCUCAGAUUGUGAAGUGUUUGAAAAUGGAGCGGAAGUCUAAGAGACCUACGUUUCUCCUGUCAAAGCACCCAGCCUGGAAUUCACACGGAUGUGCCAAGCAAUCUUUUUUUUUUCUUUGUCCAGGGGAAGAUAUGAUUAUGGACGGAUGGGUGUGUGAGCCUGAAAGAAAUUCCCUCUCUGAGAAACAAGUCUUGCUCAAGGCAUUACAUUCUUGGUUUGAAAAAUGACCGCCAUUGGCUUUUAGAGGAGAUAUGUGAAUUUCUUCUUAAUGCAACACCACUUCAUAUCUCAUAAAUUCAUUCAUGGCUAAAGAGCUCACAUGGCUUUGCCUCUUACAAAAUGCAAAAGUGUUGAUAAUAUUGGUCAAGAAAAUAAGAUCUGACUUCACAUGUAUCAUUGAUAUCACAUUGCUUGCCUUCUCAAU